ensembl:lncRNA
GUUGCACUUUAGUAUUUUUGUACUCAACAAAAAAGAAAAAUAAAAACAACAAAAAAGUAGACAAAAAAAGAACCAAUAGAAAACAAAAUGAACCUAAGAAACAGGAGUGGAGCAGAGAGCUGGCUUGCUGGGAUGGAGAGAGAAGAUGGAAGUCAGGGAUGGAAGAGUUGAUACACAAAUUAAAAUAAAACAAAAAAGAGGAAAGAUCAUUCUGAUCAGGCAGAUGUGUGCGAUUCAGCUCAGUGCUGUGCUUUCCAUUCCAGUGUGCUCCCCCUCGACCUUUACAUACAGCUCUGGAACUGGACACAACGCAAACAACAAGAGGAACUUCUGGAGUUGCGUCUCUUGUCCAGCCAAUGGGACGAGAGAUGCAUCUUCCAUCCCCAUUAUUUCCCUUUUCCAUACUCAAUCCUUUCCCCUUCAGUUCUUGAUUUUGGCUUGGUGUAAACAAUGAGGAAAAAAACAAAAAUAACAGGAGGUCAGAUCUGAAAGAGGAACGACUGAGAUCUGGAGGAAACUCUCGAGUUAGAUUGGAAGGUUGUCUUCUGUCCAAUUAAAACACGGUUUGGAAGGAACAGCAUGCACAUCAGCUUCCCUGUUCACAUCUGUGUGUACACUUUGUUUUAGAGAUACAACUGCUAAGAAGGAACCGCGGGCCUGAAUAAAAGCGAAUGUCAGUAAACAGAAAGUGACAUGCUGCAAAUGGAAAGCGCAAGCGCUGCAUGACACCACCUACAGUUCUCGGGCGUAUAUAGCGUACAAUAUGGAGACCAGCGCAGCAAUGUUCUGCGGCGUCUCCCUUGUACAAGCACACAAGUGGAGCUCGAUUGUUUUGCGCCGCAGUCCACUUGCUGGCCCAAUAUUGAGUAUUGAUUUAUGAGAGGAUAGAUACAGAACAAACCAAAUUUGAAAAACAAAGAGGAAGAAAAGGGAGAAUCCAAAUAAUUCAUUCCUAUGGUUACCUCCUUAUACAUUUUCCCUUUUACAGUUCGGAGGGAUGUCCAGGUGUAUCCAAACUGUUCAUGCAGCCAUCACCUCCACCCGGGGUUAGAGUGAAACAAAAUCACAAAUGAAUCCAAAAGAGGGGAACGUGUGGGGGGUGAGCCGCAGCUGCAGUGUCCUCCUUGGUGGUAACAUUGUUAGCCUGGGAGGAGGGGGCCAAGUCUGUAAGGCGCCGUCUGAUCAGAAGCCGACAUAGUAAAAGAUGGCGGGGAGGAUCACAGCAGACUGGUAGGUAGGGCAGCAAGAGGGAGAAAUAGAAGUGGGUUUGUCCGUGACCACACUUGUGAUGUUUCUUUUUUGGAUGAUAUGUCAGCUAUUUUACAAGAUAUUCCCUCAUUUUUUUGUCUUUUUUGUAGUUUGUUUUGUUUUUCCUUUAAGAGCAUCAAGUCAAGUAGCACCCGAACCAACCCAGACAAAAGCCCGAAAGCCUGACCCUGUAAAGCCUGCCACAACUAGCCCGUUAACAGAAAACAGGCCCCCCAACAUCAACGAGAAUGACAGUCACAACAACAUCGAUUGAAAUGAUACUUUAAAAAGCAACACAAAAUAAU